CCCUGGUGUCCCUCCCUCCUCCCCCGAGGGUGCCAGUCCUAUUGGAUCGGGCCCCACCCUCAGGAUCUCAGUUAACUUUCACUGCCCUUUACGAUCCGAACUCCAAAUACAGUUCUGAGUUGGGGUGGGGGACAGCUCCUAACAGCGAGUGACAGAACUGCGGUUCCUUCGGCGGGAGGGGACAGAUGACCAAGGAAGGUGAAUGACCGCAUAACUGGGGUCUGAGUUCCAGCCGGAGAGAAACUGGAGAUGGGACUGAAGGAGGGGGCCAGCUGGCCUGUGUCCCAGGGUGUGGCCAAGACCCCUGCAGCCGGUGACACUGAAGCCCCAGCUUCCACACUCGUUACGGGGGAGGGGAGCAGGCCCUGGAGCUCUGGGGUGAGGGCAAGGGAAAGUCCAGAUGCCGAUGUUUCUCUGCCAGCCCACAGCAACAGAAAAUGGAUUAAGACAACACCCAAGCCUGGUGCUUCUAUCUCCACCACCAGUGAGCUCUAGCUGAUCCUUACCCCGCAUGGACAUGUGUGCACCUGUGUCUACGCAUCUGCGAGAGCUGAGCAGAAAGACAGAGACAGAGAGGUGAAAGAUGUGACAGCAACCAAAGUGGGAAGAAAGUGACGUGAGGCUCAUGAGUGAGGAAAGAAGGCAAGGGGUGUGCGGAGAAUGUGCUUUGGAGGCUGAGCCACGCAGGGGUCCAGAGCCCUGCGUGGUGAUGGGGAUCAGGACUGAGGCAGCUUUGAGGUGCUACCUUCCAGGCUGACUCUGCUGUGUGGUGUGCUGGCCUGUGGUCACCUGGUGUGGAAGAAGUCAAGGGCAGAGUUUCUCAGAGCGGCCGGGCUGGGCCUGAGCACUUCAAGCCCCUCAGAGUCGACUCCCCCAGGACUCAGCCUGGGGCGCUGGCCCAGGACACUGCACUGAUACUGUUCUUGCUACGCCCUGGGAAAGGUGGGGGACACUGCUGCUGGCUAACACUGCCCAGAGCACAGAAAAGGGCUCCAGGCUCCCUUUAAAAAAGGCUGUGCACUCUACACCUCUUCACGAAUAAACACAUUCACAAAUGCACAAGCCAGGAAAGGCUGUGAGAAGCCCUAGUGUGGGAAAUGAGGUGGGAGGAUUUAUACUUUUGUUUAGGACUUCCAAUAGCAGACUACACAGCUGUUAAUUUGGGUCAUUAGAUCCAAUUAAACAAAACCGAGAUCAGGAGCUGUUAAAAUCCCCAGACCCGACGCAGGCUCUUUCUCUGUGGGAGGUGUUAAUUCUGCCAGGGGACCUUUCCUGUCCAGAGAGUCUUGGGAUUUGAUGGUGGCUUCCAAGCCAAGCAAGAGGUCCCACACCGGUCAACCAGCAUGUCUUUGCUGGCCUAGUCUCCUGCUCAAUGAGCCAGCGCCAGUUCAGCACUAGAAAUACACCUGCAACGUGUAAGUUAGAGCUUGGACAAUCACAGGCUUCAUUCUUAAGAUUUAGAGCCACCACUCACAGGACUAAAAAUUUAGAAUUGGACACUGUGGAAAACUGUGAGCCUACUGUAUGUGAGUGUGUGUGAGUUAGGAACAGACUGCAGAUCUCUGAUCAGGCAUCAGUUUCCCCCUCUGUAAAAUAAGAGUCAGGUGCUGUGUUAACCUCAAAAUCCAUGUAGUAAAGGUCAUAUUUGUAUGGUACUUGGGAGGGUGUCUGUGUUUCAGAUGUAGGAUCUUUUAAAAGGUAGCAAAGGUUAAAUGGGGUCUUAGAGUGGGCCCUAAUCCAAAGUGACUAUUGUUCUUAGAAAAAAAAAAAAGGGAUUCAGACACAUCUAACCCAGAGGAAUGACAGAAUGACCCUAUGAAGUCACAAGAGAAGGCAGAGUUCUCUGCCAGCCAAGGGGAGAAAUUUCAGAAGAAACCAAAUCCGCAGACGCCUACAUCUUGACUUCUGGCCUCAAGAACUGAGAACAAAAAGUGUCUAUGGUCUAAGCCACCAGGCUGUGUUGUUUAAUCCUGGCAGCCUAGAAAUGGACACAGAUGGCCAAACCACAGGACAAGCCCUGGGCGCCUCACCAGUGCACAGUUCCCCUGCUUUCUUCCUAAUAGAAGGAACUUUUCCAACAUCUCCCUCAUGGGACACACAGAUAGGGGCUCGCACGUGUGUCCCUCACUGGGCCUGUGACCGACUCCAGACCAGGACACGUGAGGAGGACACGCUGGGGAGCGUCUAAAAAAGUCUCCUCUGUUCUCAGGGAGGCGGCGAGCACAGUCUGUGCCUGGGUAGGACACCUGAAAUAUCUACAGCUAUUUUGUGACCCUACGGAGCUUCCCAAAAGCCAAGACAACGUCCCGAGGACCGCAGAGGAGAGAGGAGCGAUGACACAUCUCAUGGCUAUUUUAAGCGAUGGUGGAUUAAAAUCUUUCUUUCUAUUUAAAUCAGUCUCCAAGCCGGGCGUGGUGGCACACUCCUGUAAUCCCAGCACUUGGGAGCUGAGGCAGAAGGAUCAUUGUGAAUUCGAGACCAGCCUCGGCUACAUAGUGAAUUCCAGGUCAGCCUCAACUACAUAGUUAAGACUCUGUCUCAAAAAAAAAAAAAAAAAAAAAAAAAAAAAAAAAACAAAUAAAUCGGUCUCAGGGACUU
ensembl:lincRNA